AGAGACAAGUAGAAGCACCCGCUUCUCACCUGAUCGACGCACAAAGCAGUUGGCAGGUCACAAAUCCUUUUUAAACGAUGGGAUACGUGUGGGUGCAGUAUGUGUACCGACACUUUUUUAAUGUU
rfam:Halobacillus mangrovi strain KTB 131, complete genome.